UACGAAGGGGGCUAGCGUUGUUCGGAAUCACUGGGCGUAAAGCGCGCGUAGGCGGAUUGUUAAGUCAGGGGUGAAAUGCCGAGGCUCAACCUCGGAACUGCCUUUGAUACUGGCAAUCUUGAGUCCGGGAGAGGUGAGUGGAACUCCUAGUGUAGAGGUGAAAUUCGUAGAUAUUAGGAAGAACACCAGUGGCGAAGGCGGCUCACUGGCCCGGUACUGACGCUGAUGUGCGAAAGCGUGGGGAGCAAACAGGG
rnacentral:rRNA from 1 species